rnacentral:rRNA from 1 species
CAGUCGCCGCGGGAAUACGUAGGUGGCAAGCGUUGUCCGGAAUUAUUGGGCGUAAAGGGCUCGCAGGCGGUUUCUUAAGUCUGAUGUGAAAGCCCCCGGCUCAACCGGAGAGGGUCAUUGGAAACUGGGAAACUUGAGUGCAGAAGAGGAGAGUGGAAUUCCACGUGUAGCGGUGAAAUGCGUAGAGAUGUGGAGGAACACCAGUGGCGAAGGCGACUCUCUGGUCUGUAACUGACGCUGAGGAGCGAAAGCGUGGGGAGCGAACAGGAUUAGAUACCCCGGUAGUCCCUGUCUCUUAUAC